rnacentral:rRNA from 1 species
AGUGAACGCUGGCGGUAGGCCUAACACAUGCAAGUCGAACGGCAGCACAGUAAGAGCUUGCUCUUACGGGUGGCGCGUGGCGGACGGGUGAGGAAUACAUCGGAAUCUACUUUUUCGUGGGGGAUAACGUAGGGAAACUUACGCUAAUACCGCAUACGACCUACGGGUGAAAGCAGGGGAUCUUCGGACCUUGCGCGAUUGAAUGAGCCGAUGUCGGAUUAGCUAGUUGGCGGGGUAAAGGCCCACCAAGGCGACGAUCCGUAGCUGGUCUGAGAGGAUGAUCAGCCACACUGGAACUGAGACACGGUCCAGACUCCUACGGGAGGCAGCAGUGGGGAAUAUUGGACAAUGGGCGCAAGCCUGAUCCAGCCAUACCGCGUGGGUGAAGAAGGCCUUCGGGUUGUAAAGCCCUUUUGUUGGGAAAGAAAAGCAGCAGGUGAAUACCCCGCUGUUCUGACGGUACCCAAAGAAUAAGCACCGGCUAACUUCGUG